GCCAGACUGGAACCGGGAGAGGUAAGAGGUACUACAGGGGUAGGAGUGAAAUCUUGUAAUCCCUGUGGGACCACCGUGUGGCGAAGGCGUCUUACCAGAACGGGUUCGACGGUGAGGGACGAAAGCUGGGGCACGAACCGGAUUAGAUACCCGGGUAGUCCCAGCCGUAAACGAUGCUCGCUAGGUGUCAGGCAUGGCGCGACCGUGUCUGGUGCCGCAGGGAAGCCGUGAAGCGAGCCACCUGGGAAGUACGGCCGCAAGGCUGAAACUUAAAGGAAUUGGCGGGGGAGCACAACAACGGGUGGAGCCUGCGGUUUAAUUGGACUCAACGCCGGACAACUCACCGGGGGCGACAAGCAAUAUGUAGGCCAAGCUGAAGACUUUGCCUGAAUCCGCUGAGGGGUGGUGCAUGG
rnacentral:rRNA from 1 species